rnacentral:lncRNA from 1 species
AGUCAUUUCCUGCCUUCUCAGGGCAAGUCAGGUCUAGAAUUUUGCUCCUGGCCCCUCAGCUUCCCACGGAGGCCGCCUCCCUCCUCCAGGUCUGCUUAGCCAUGGGGCUCCCCUGACAGGCUGCCCGGCCUUCUGACACCGCGGCCAGGCGUCGGAGCCACACCCCAGCCAAGGCUGCCUUCUGCCUAGGACCCUCACUGUUUCCGUGUUUAUUCCUCAUCCUUUUUUUUUUUUUAACCACCCGUGUUUCAUGACCAGGAGCCGCUGACUCCAGACUGCCCACCAGGCUCUGGUUCUGCAUGUGCUUAACAGCCAACUGGGACGGACAGCUCCAGUCCCCAUGUCCCUCACCCGUGUGGCCUUUAUCAGACCUUUGCAGCCCUAGCACCAAGUCCUACCCCAAACCCUCAGCUGCCCACCCUGCAACACUGACCAAACCCUGAGUCCAGCCAUCUGGCCCUCAGAAACUGUCCCCGGCUCCAGGCCAAGCUGCCUUACAGAUGGGCCCUGGGUUCCCUAGGAAACUGCAGGCUGAACUGGCUGUCAGUGGAGGGUUUCGGCCGUGUGGUUGGCCACCUGGGCAGAAGCCUUGCAAACUGCCUUCUUACCUGGUACUUCCCCUUCCUGAGCUCCAAACUCAACCCUUUCUGAGUCACCUGGGCCUUGGACACCUGUCCCUUUGGAGUCAUUUACAUCUUAGAAACCCAGGCCUUCUAAAUCACAGUCACCUUGGAUAUCAGAUGAGUGCCCUGCCUCACUUCAGUCUUCUGGAUUCUCAAAUAUUUCAGCUGGUUCUUGGUGUUCCUCCUGCAUAUCCUAGGCCUGUGAGGGCUGGACUCCAAGAACUGGCCACGCCGUUCCUAAAACCAAGUCUCUGAGUCGCCAGAGCCUUGGUUACUUGCCCAGAUCAACAAAACCCAGAAGCAGGGUCAGCGUCCGGCCUUCACUCACCCCUCCGCUCAUGCAUCCACUUCUCCCGUCAACGAGGGUUCACGGAGCAGGUGCUUUGGAGCCACAGCACGUGCCAGUCGCCCAGCAAGGAAUGGCAAAACAUGCUUCCCAGACUGCAGAUGCUCACAGCCCAGGGGAAGGUGUCCAAGGCGAUCUAACCCAUUUCAGCCCCAUUGAACCAUGUCACAGUGAGUUGGGCAAGUUUCACGUACCAGGUGAGCACUCGGGAAAGGCAUCUAACGCGUGCAGGGACUGUCUUCCUCAGACAGUGAGUGAUAUGGAGUCUAGGCUGAAUCCUGAAUGGCAGCAAGAGCGGGGGAAGGGGUUCCAGUGGGGACGGCACUCCGGAUGUCCCGUGUAAAAACCCACAGAGAGCGCGACUCAGAAGGGGGAAUGGAAAACAUCGCAUGACGGGUGUCACGGGAGAGGGCUGCGGGGCCUGACCGUAUCGAAGUUGGUUGCUACCCUGAGGGCGAUGGGAAGCCACAGAGGGAGUCUGAGUGGCACCCACCCCACCUGCUCUGCUCUUCACGACCAAGAGCUUCACUUGGAGACUCUCACUUUGCCAUCUGAUGGAGGAUGAGUUAGAGGGAAGGCGAGGUCUCGGGCAGGAAGAGGCGACUGUGGCAGGAUUCCAAGAAUGUGGUAAGGGCCUGCACCAAGGGACUGGUAAAAAGCACUGGGGAUGUAACAGCAGUGGGACUUGGUGGUUGACUGGGCAUGAAGAGGGUGCAGAAGGGAGGGGUCUCGAGUGAUGCCGAGGUCACCAGGAUGAUGGAUGCUGGAUGAUGGGAACGUGGUGCUGUGAAGUGUCCUUAGAGGAUAAAGGAGGAACGGGAGACAAGGUCCUCAACAGCAAGAGCAGUGCUGACUCCAAGGCGACCUCGGAACUUCGUGUGCGGAGCUGCGUCGCCAGGAGCCGCCCUGGCCAAAGGCAGAGGUCUGAGAAUGAGCAGCACGCAGAGGAAGUGGAGCCACGCGCACUGUCGAGUGAGAAGAGCAGAGGGCCGACGAUGGAGCAUGAAGAGGUGGACGUGUACAUAGUCUCCAAGUGUCUUCCGUACCUGACACUUUUCCUAAUUAUGACAAACAAGUAACUUUACAACGGAGAGACCUGCCAGAUACCAGCCUAACCCAAUGAUCAAAAUUAACAUCUCCAGGAAUGGGCCAAAGACCUCCUGAUACGACGCCCUGCGAAGGACACCACCUCCCUUCUGUAAUAUUCCUCCCCCAGUGCAUAAUCCGAGUCUAAUCAAGGGAACAGCAGACAAAUGCGUGCUGAAGAACAUUGUACAAAACAACAGGCCUGUGCUCUUCAAAACUGUCAAAGUUAAAAAAAACAACAAAAAAAAACAAAAAAAACCGAAAGGCUAAGAAACCGUUCUGGAUUAAGGGAGACGAAAGAACAAACACAAUAACUAAAGAAUUCACUGCAUGAUCCGAGAUUAGAUCCUGUAGCAAGAUUUAUAAAAGGGGGGGGGGCUUGUUUUCUUUUGCUUCAGUUGCUUUGUGGCAAUUAGCGAAAUUUGAAAUAAAAUUUAUAGUCAUUAUAGACAUUAGUCCUGCUUUUGUAAUUUUGAUCUGACUUUUAGCACCAUGCUGUGUAAGAGAAGGCCCUUCUUUGGAGUUCCUGUCAUGGUGCAGUGGUUAACGAAUCUGACUAGGAACCAUGAGGUUGCGGGUUCAAUCCCUGGCCUCGCUCAGUGGGUUAAGGAUCCGGAGUUGUUGUGAGCUGUGGUAUAGGUCACAGAUGCUCCUCAGAUCCUGAGUUGCUGUGGCUCUGGUGUAGGUCGGUGGCUACAGCUCCAAAUAGACCCCUAGCCUGGGAACCUCCAUAUGCCUCGGGAAGUGGCCCUAGAAAAGGCAAAAAAAAAAAAAAAAAAAAAAAAAAAAA